UUACCCCUGCAGUGUGCGUGAUUGCCAGACAGUCUUUGUUCUAACGCAUUAAACAAAAGGGAGUCCACACUGUUUUUGGUGUGCUAUGUUCCGCUUCGACGGAAAAGCCUGAAGAAAAUACUGGACGCCCGCCUUUUGAACCUUUGGUUCAAAGUCUAAUAUAGCAACACGGCAGUUUGUGGGGGUAAU
rnacentral:other from 1 species